rnacentral:sRNA from 1 species
UCGUUUUGUUCAAGAAA